rnacentral:lncRNA from 1 species
UCCCCCCCCCCCACGGUGUAACCCUCCACAGGUGCCAUUGAAGACAAAGGUAAUGUAUUUCGUUCUCUCAUUCUCUCUAUCCCUCCUCCUCUCCUGUCCCCUUCUUCUCAUUUUCCUUUUUCAAUUUUUUUAGGAGAGGCGGUCGGGCAGCAAUGGUGUGUAGCAGCAGCGACAACGAUGGACUCCGACGACAUUGUCUUCCUCUAUACUCAGCGGCAGUGUUGUAGUGGUCCAAUUGCAAGGUUAGUAUAAUUUUUAUUAAAAUUAUUAAUUUAUUCAAGUACUUAGAAAUUUAUGCUAGAAAAUAGAUUGAUUUUUAAUUUUGUAAAAUUUUGUGUGUUUGAAGAGUCUCCUCAUGAAUGACUUGAUACUGAGCCUUAGGAUCCCAUGUGUAUUUUUGAGUGGAGUAGUUUUCUUGUAACGAUCAUUCAUAAUCUUUUGAACAAAUUUGUCAUGUGGAGUUUCACUUGAGAAUAGAAAUUGCUUUGAUAUUUCAAUAGUAUUGUUGGGCAAACAAACAUGAUUUCUUGCAUUUUGAAUUGGGAGGCCAGUGAUAUUGCUUUGAUAUUUAGUUUUCCUUUUACCUCUCUUCCUCUUAGUAAAAAAUAUUCAUAAAAGAUAGUAAUGAAAAAGAAUAUAUAGUUUGUGAAAUUUGAUGAAGCACGAUCUAGUGAAUCGCAAUCACUUUAAUAAAAGAGAUUUUUGAGAAUAUGAUAAGAGGAUAGGUAAUACUAAGCUAAUAUUUCUACUUUUAUACCUAUGCAAAUAGAAGCCUUUGAAAUUAAAUUAUUUAAAAUUAGAUUUUUAAAAAUUAACUUAUUGUGUAAUGUUAUUUAACCUUUCAAAAUAAGAACCUUUAAAUAAAAUAAUAUUUAACAUUUUGUGUAGAUGGAAUCAUCCGAAUCGUACGGGGUUGCGGGAUGAAUUUAUAGAAGGGUUUUCUAGCUUUAUUGCUAAGGCAAAGACACUUGAUGAUUUCCUUAUCGAAGGGACGAUUAGGUGCCCCUGUGUGAAAUGCAAGUGUCUUAUGUUACUGGUGCCCGAUAUUGUCGUUGUUCAUUUGCAUAAGAAGGGGUUUAUGGAAAAUUAUUAUGUGUGGACUGUGCAUAGGGAGGGUCAUGCUAGUGUAGAUGAUGUUCAUUUUUAGAACUCAUUUGGUGGUGAAGAAGGUAGUCCCAUAGGGAAGAAAAUUAAUGUUGAAAAUUCUAGAUUUAAUGAAAUGAUGGGGGAUGCUUUUGAGAUGUUCCCUAGGGCUCAAUCCGAACCAAAUAAUGAGGCUAAGAGCUUCUUCAAACAGUCAUAAGAAGCUAGUUGUCCGCUUUAUGAAGGCGCAGUGCAUCCCAAGUUGUCUGUUGUAGUUAGAUUACUAAGUAUUAAAUCGGAUAAUUCUAUUUCUCAAGCGAGCAUGGAUUCUAUUAUUGGCCUUAUGAAUGAACUAAAUCCGACCAAGAUUGACUUGCGCAAAGAUUUUUACACGGUAAAGAAAUUGGUUUUCAAGUUAGGUCUUUCAUCGGAGAGGAUUGAUCGUUGUGAAAAAGGUUACAUGUUAUUUUAUAAGGAUGAUGCAGCUUUAGAAAAUUACAAAUUUUGUAACCAGACGCGUUACAAAGAAGUCACAAAUGCAAAACAGAAGAAGGUUCUAGUGAAGGCGAUGCACGACUUAUCCUUUAUACCAAGGUUAAAGAGGUUUUACGCAUCAAUGAGUUUCGCUCCUCAUAUGAGAUGGCAUUAUGAACAUAGAAGGUCAGAUGGUGUGCUAUGUCAUCCAUCAGAUGGAGAAGCAUGGAAGCAUUUUGAUAGGGUGUUCCCAGACUUUGCAGUGAACCGAGAAAUUGGGCUGGGAUUAUGUGCUGAUAGAUUCACUCCAUUUGUAGUGUCUGCUGCACCAUAUUCAUGUUGGCCAGUAUUUGUUACGCCGUAUAAUCUACCGCCUGAAUUGUGUAUGACAAGUCAAUAUUUGUUUCUAACUUGUAUUGUUCCAGAUCCACGCAAUCCAAAACAAUUGAUUGAUAUAUACAUGCAACCCCUAUUUGAUGAGUUGAAGUUAUUGUGGCAUGAAGGUGUGGAAACAUAUGAUGUAUCAACUAAGCAAAACUUCAGAUUCAGUGUUGCUUUAAUGUGGACUAUAAAUAAUUUUUCUGCUUAUGGAAUAACGUCCGGGUAGUCAACUGCCGGAAAGUUAGCUUGCCCGACUUGUUUGGAAGACACAAAGGCAUUCACUUUGAAACAUGGAGGUAAGAACACAUGGUUUGAUUGUCAUCACCGCUUUUUGCCAAUGGAUCAUGAGUUUAGGAGAAAUACUAGUGCAUCUAUGAAGAACAAAACUGAUUAUGAGGAGCCACUACAUGUCCUGUCACUUGAAGAGAUUUGGAAUAGAGUUAGGGAUCUACCCAAGGUAACAGAGUAUCCAUUGCCUAAUAAGAUAUCAGGGUAUGGUGUAACACACAACUGGACAAAACAUAGCAUUUUUUAGGAGUUACCUUAUUUGAAGCACAAUCUUCUUCGGCAUAAUCUUGAUUUCAUGCAUACCGAGAAGAACUUUAUUGAUAACUUGUUUAAUACUGUGAUGGAUGUAAGCAACAAGACAAAAGAUAACUUGAAGGCAAGGAUGAAUUUAAAAGAAUAUUGUAGGCGGGCUGAGUUAUACUUGACAUACAUGAACAACAAGAUUCAGAAGCCUAAGGCCACUUACACGUUCACUUUGGAUGAAAGAAGAGAGAUUUGUGAUUGGGUUAAUAAUUUAAGGAUGCCUGAUAAGUAUGCAUCAAACUUAUCUAGGUGUGUUGACAUGAAAUAAGGGAAGUUGACGUCUAUGAAAAGUCACAACUGUCAUAUUUUCAUAGAAUCUUUGAUGCCUAUUGCAUUCAAUGCUUUGCCUGAUAGAAUAUGGAAGACCAUCAUAGAGAUAUGCUUAUUUUUCAAGGAGUUGUGCUCUAGCACAUUGAGGAGGAGAACCUAGCUUACAUUGACAGAAACAUUCGCUUAACUUUAAACAAGUUGGCGAAAAGUUUCCCGCUUGAUUUUUUCGAUGUGAUGGAACAUCUUUUAAUUCACCUUGCGCAAGAGGCAUGGCAAUGAGGGCUAGUUCAAUGUAGAUGGAUGUAUCCCUUCGAGGUAUAAUUAUCUAUAAUCAUAAAUCCUUAUAUGUUUUAUUUUAAUAUUAUUUCAUCUCAAAAUCGUGUUAUGCAGGAUGAUUGGCAAAUGUAAGAGGACCGUGAAUAAUAGAUCAAGGGUUGAAUGAUCGAUAUGUGAGGCAUAUCUGGCUAGAGAAACAUCUUAUUUCUGUUCAUAUUAUUUUGAACAUGAUGAUCCAUGCUUAAUAAAUAGAUCUGAUCGGCAUGAUAAUGGUGGCAAUAUCGAUCCAUUAGCACCACCCUUGUAACUACCCGACUAGUCGUUUUAAAAAAUUGAGUCCGGAUCGGUCGUUUGAGGUCAUGAGUAGCUUCACCUAGUGUAUUAUGACUUGCGUGGAUCAUCGGCUCAGGCUUUUGAGUGGUUUGGAAAUGAUUUUAAGUGGUAACUCUCAUUUGAGAAGCUCGAAGUUGAAGGAAUUGACCGAAUUUGACUUUUAGAUAUUUGACCUCGGAUCGAAGAUUUGAUAGUUCGGGUAGGUCUAGAUUGUGAUUUUGGACUUGGGCGUAUAACCGUAUUUGCAUUUGGAUGUUUUUAGAGGGUUUCAACGUCAUUUAGCAAAAGUUGGCAAUUUAACGGUUUAGAAUUUUCCUAAGUUUGACCAUAGUUGACUUUAAAGCUAUCAGGUUCGGAUUUUUAUUUCGGGACUUGGAAUAGUUCUGUUUCUUCAUAUGGAACUUUCCUGCAAAAUUCAAUGUCAUUUGGAGUUCAUUUGUUAUGGUUCGAAUGCUUGGUUGCUUCUAGAAGUUCAUUAAGAUUCGCAUGCGUUUUGGCAUCCGAUUUGUGCUUCUAGAGGUUAUUUUGGGAUUUCGAUUGCACGAACGAGUUCACGUUAGGUUUUUAGACUGGUGUGGGUGUUUGGAUCCUCGGGGGCUGGGGCGAGUUUCAGAUUGGUUUCAGAUUGAUUUUGUUAAAUUGUUGAGUAUUGGUACUGAUUCCAUCGCAUUUGCGAUGUUUUGUUCGUAAAUGCAACUACCACAUUUUUGAGGUAGUCCUCGCAUUUGCGAACCUGGGCUGCUGGGGGAGGGAUCGAAUUUGCGAAGAAAUGAUCGCUUUUGCGAAGCCUGUAGAGUUCGCUUUUGCGAACUCUGUAUCGCAUUUAUCAUGAAGUCCUAGGCUAGGUAGGGUCACUUUUGCGACAAACUGGUCGGUUUUGCGAAGACCCGUGUCCGUAUUUGUGACAUUUUCUGUCUCAUUUUUGAAGGCGUCAGAAUUGUUCAAGCUUCGCUUUUUCGAGUUCGCAUUUGCGAACCCAGUGUCACAAAUGCGACAUCUGCAGCUUGCUUAUAACUGAGUAUUCCAGAACUUAGCUUCAUUUUAUCAUGUUUUGAACCCUAACCUCGAUGGGAGACGAUUUUGUGGAUGGAGUUUCAUACCAAACCAUUGGAUAAGUGCCUCUAAUCAGUUUUCAAUUAUAUUUUAUAAUUAUACAUUAGAUUUAACAUCAAAUUCAUGAGAACCUAAGCGAAAAAUUUGGGGAUUUUGUCAAAGUUUUGAAAAAUAAAAAUUUGAGAUUUGUGAUUCUAAUUGUACUCGAAUUUGGAAACAAAACACGUAUAUGGCCUCGAGGGUCUAUGAGUAGUCAAGACCUACCCUUGGACCCGGAGUUUGACCGGACGAGACUGGGGCUGACUUUUUGUUGACUUUGUUUAGAAGUUGUAUAAAGAUCAUAGAUUUGUUUAUUGAAAUUAUUUUCUCUUGCAUUAUUUGAUGUAUUUAAGUCGUCUUUGUCUAGAUUGAGCCUAGCGGAGGUGAAUUUAUAAAGAAAAAAGCUAAUUUGAGUAUUGAUUUGGUCGAAUUGA